UUAAUCUCUCCCUAUAUAUGAAGACUGCCCAAACCCUCGCAAGGCAUCAUCUGGAGUGAAAAGGAGAGGAAGAGAGUGGCGUUGGGAGUAAUAGGUAUGGGGGGAGUGGGCAGUGUUGAAUCUUUCUGCCCAUUUGUGAGCAGCACAAUUAACUCUUCCCAGCACCUCCCAUACCCUUCAUUUCCAACCCUUGCUCCCCUUCUCCCGCUCUCCUAAUCUUAGCCCUGCUCAGGAUGUAAACAACUUCAAGGUGGUUUCGUUAAGGGUAAUUCAACUCAUUUUUCGACCUUGUGGGAAGCCAUUGAGAUGACCUUGCACGUCCUUAGAAUAUCAAAACCAAACAAGUUCCUGGUACCGAAUUUGGCGUAAACUUGAAAAGUAUUUCCACUCGAACAAGUUCUUGACAAACAUUUCUACCUUUCCGUUUUUCUGUAAAAUCAGUGUUAUGUAACAUCGUAUGAGUGAUUCAUGUAUCAAUCCCAUUAUUGACAGUGCGGUAUAUGAAAAUAACAUGAUCUUCUAAAAUUAGGAAAUGGCGAGACAAAUAUGGCUUGCGCUUGUCUUUCGAGGUAGACUCGAUAGGAACUAGGUUGUGGGUGGAGCUAUGGCCGAAGCCAUUGCAUUUCAUGCUCUGCCCCCCUCCCCCAAGAUUAGUUCCAUCUCUUACCACUGUUGGUGUUCGAUGGCUGCCACCAUCCUUAACCUGAAUACUGAUGGCUCGACACUGGUGCGGAAGCAGUUCUCAGAAACUGCAAUGGUGACUACUGGAUAUGCGGGGUACCUAUCGACACAUCCCUCAUGCUUGCAUGCUGCAAGCGUUCCAGCAAAGUUAAGGGCCUUUUGAGAUGACCUCCACGUUGCUAAGAUGAAAAUAUCAGAAAGAUUAUAGUUGAAUUGGAUGGCUUCUCUAGGAGCAGUUUGAGCAUACCUUUACGGAGGGCAACAGAUACGCUGAUGCGCUUGCAAAUAUUGGCAGCAAAGCUCAAGUCCCUCAACUUCGGACCACUUCUAUAACUCUAAUAUGCAGUAUAUUUUUUUAACAGCCACCAAACUGGAUCACUCUUGCAUGCCAAUGCCGCCAGCAUUCAUUUGUAACUUGACAGUAUCAGUCCUUAAUUCUUAUCUAACUUCCAUUUCAGAUAAAAAGAAAAUGGCAACACCAAGAUACACAAUGUUGCUUUUAAAGCCACUACUGAAGUAGAUGACCUAAGAGUUCCUUCUAAAAAUAUGAUUUGACAGUAAUACUGCCAAAAUUCCAUAAAAAGGGCUUGUCAUUUGAUCGGUUUGAUGAUGUAAAGCUAAAGAUGCUUUUAUUUAUUUAUCUCUAUGUAUGGCAUUGACCUAAACAAUGUAAGACCAGCUUCUCCCAUCCAAUAUAAAGUCCGUAU